AACAGAUCAAUGUGCAAGAGUUCCAGUGGUCUAGAGGUGGAAACAACAUUCUUAGAUUUAAAUAAGUUUUAGAAAACUUGUCUUUCUAACAUGCCUCGCAAAGAGAACUUGAAGCAAACUUCAGAUUUGGAUGGUCUCUGACUAAGUUGAGCAUGUUAAGCUUUGAGAUUCUUCUCAAGCUAACAUGACCCAACCGUCUAUGCCAAGUCCAUUGUUCCCCGUUC
rnacentral:lncRNA from 1 species